rnacentral:lncRNA from 1 species
CUCCAGCCCCAGCCGGGCCCCCUCGCGCCGCUGCGGCUGCUGCGCGGUGAGGUCGUGACAAGUCACAGCUAACUUGCCCUCCGCGCCAUUCCACGCCACCAGGAAGCGCAGCCGGUGCCUCUCGGCAUCGGCGAAGAGGCCUUGCCGGACCGGCGCCCAGCCCUCCAGGCUGUCGAGCUGCUCGUCCUCCAUGGCCGUCGGCGGCAGCGGCCCUAGGACUCGGCGGGCGCGGGCCUGACCUCGCCGCACUGCCUGUCAGGGGACAGUCCCAGGUGAAGCA